UAGAGGGUGUACUACUCCAAGUUUGAAGAGUACUGUGAAGAUUGGAUUUGGAUAUCUCCUAGCUCUUCCUUGAUAGUGAAGAUAAAAUUGUAAUCCCCUAUCUAUUUUUAUAUUUUAAUUCCCAAAAGUGUUAACCCAGUAUUUAAAGAAGAUCUACCCAUUUUAACCACAAAAAGGUGUGAACUAACAACAAAAAGGUGUGAACACCCAUUUCGUACACUGAGUGGGACAUUUGUGAUUCACAUGUGAAAGAAUGGGUAGCCCUGGAGAAAAGCAUCUGCUGUGAUUGGUAGACAUAAAAUUUAGGGGAGGUGACACAAAAGAAAAAGAUCUUUAAAUAGAGGAAACAGAGGCACACAAGAUAGAUCAAGAUUCAGUCACUUGGUGUUGGACUGGAUCAGUCACUUGGGCUUGAAGUGAAGAAGCGUCAUUUGGAGGAGAGACUAAAAUCAGUCACUCGAAGUUGGACUGGAAGACAGACACUUGAGGAGAGACUGGAAAACAGACACUCAGACUUGAAGUGAAGACACUUGGCUGUGAAACUGGACCCCUGGAGGAGCUUGUGCAGGAGACCUCAGACUGCUUCCCUUUUAGAUGGUCAUUGUGGCCAUGAUGAUAGCACUGGAAAUAAGGUUCACUACUCAAGAGAGAUUUAAUCUUAUGUUUGUCAAUCUCAUUGGACCCAGUUCUCUAAAAAGCACCCCAACGAGGAUUAUAAACCAGGUAGGUGAACCAGUUUCAGGUAGGAGGAUAUUCUGGGGAAGGGCGAGAAAGAAAACGUGUGUGUGUGUGUGUGUGUGUGUGUGUGUGUGUGAGAACACAUAUAAGGAAUAUAGAUGA
rnacentral:lncRNA from 1 species